rnacentral:rRNA from 1 species
UACGGGGGGGGGCAAGCGUUGUUCGGAUUUACUGGGCGUAAAGGGCGCGUAGGCGGUCGUUCAAGUCGCGUGUGAAAGCCCCCGGCUCAACUGGGGAGGGUCACGCGAUACUGAUCGACUCGAAGGCAGGAGAGGGAAGUGGAAUUCCCGGUGUAGUGGUGAAAUGCGUAGAUAUCGGGAGGAACACCAGUGGCGGAAGGCGACUUCCUGGCCUGUUCUUGACGCUGAGGCGCGAAAGCUAGGGGAGCAAACGGG